rnacentral:ncRNA from 1 species
UUUCCGCCGAAGUUUCCCUCAGGAUAGCAGUGUUGAUCUCAGUUUUAUGAGGUAAAGCGAAUGAUUAGGGACCCGGGGGCGCUAUAUAGCCUUCAUCCAUUCUCAAACUUUAAAUAUGUAAGAAGCCCUUGUUACUUGACUGAACGUGGGCAUUCGAAUGUAUCAGCACUAGUGGGCCAUUUUUGGUAAGCAGAACUGGCGAUGCGGGAUGAACCGAACGCGAGGUUAAGGUGCCAGAGUAGACGCUCAUCAGACACCACAAAAGGUGUUAGUACAUCUUGACAGCAGGACGGUGGCCAUGGAAGUCGGAAUCCGCUAAGGACUGUGUAACAACUCACCUGCCGAAUGUACUAGCCCUGAAAAUGGAUGGCGCUCAAGCGUCUCACCCAUACCUCGCCCUCAGGGUAGAAACGAAGCCCUGAGGAGUAGGCGGACGUGGGGGUCAGUGACGAAGCCUAGGGCGUGAGCCCGGGUCGAACGGCCUCUAGUG